GUUUGAGAAAUGGACAAACCCCGAGCUUUGGCACAACCACGAAGAACUCGGGAACUUUUUACCAGACUGGUGAACUUCUGUGGUCCUUCCUGGGUGUCCGCGUGGAAGUACCGAGGGCAGAGGCCAGGAAGACACGUUUUCCACUUGUGCACGUGAAGAUCUGUCGUCGGCGCCAAAACUGAUCUGUGUGCAGUUCUGCUCGGUGUGGGAAGUUAGGGGAGAGUCCAUGCUGUUCUGCAAUGAAAAAAAAGUCCAGUUUUAAUCCCUUCCUCAUCCAGUCCCCGGGCUCUUCAGCUUUCCACCGACCACCCUCCAGAGAAACUUCCUUGGGGCUCAUGCUUGGAGCCAUGGAAGGCAACAUUGCGAGUGACACCUCUUUUCUUUUCUUUUCUUUUCUUUCUUUCUUUCUUUUUUCUUAAACACACAGGAACUAAGUUGGUGCAGGUCUGAGGGAUAAUUAAACGAAAACGGGCCUCCCAAGUUGGGGCAUGAGCACACUGAUUUCUGGGGGCAGGAAGCCUUGGGGUCAGCACCUGUGAUGUGUCUGGUGAUGACACCCUUCUCGUUCAUGAGGCUGUAGUGAGAAACCACUAUCCAAAAAGAGAUGACGGCUCUAUAUUUGCUUUGUAAGCAAAAGGCAUGUAUCAUAGUUGCAUCUAAAAUAGUGUCCACAUCUUUACCAAAGGCACUGAAUUUUACCCGUUUUUAUGACCUGGUGGCCUCCCCUUCCUCGGGAGGCAUUUCAGGUGCCCCCUCCCCCACUCCAUGCCACGCUCAUUCUUUCUCCCGAAAAUACAUCCAUUGUCUGUACUAUAAAAUGAUGCCUGCAACUUUGUGGUGAUAUUAUCCCCUGAGUUUAACAGUGAAAUAAGGAAAUAAAACUAUUAAUAAACAAA